GAUCGAUCAGCUGCUCUUAGGUAACCAGCUGUUGUUCUCGAGUGUCAACCAGCUGUCAAGAUUGCACACGAGGCAUAUAAAGGACAGGUUUGGAUGUGGGCUGCAGCUAUUGGGGGGUUGCUGGCUGUAUGGUGUGUGAGUGCAGUGUGGGGAUGGGGCAGCGAUGGAGGAAGCCUUGGGGUGGUGCUUCCCCUCUCACUAGUUGUGGGGGGCAUCUCAGCCAUGGUUCUGGGGGCUACCCUCACUAUUGCAGCGUACGUGAUGCUGUCGGCCAAACACCAAGUGACAGUCAGAGUCCCUCCAGAAAUAUCGGCUCUUCAUACACUUAUUGCCAGUGUCCGCUGUGAUGCAGAAAGCUCCUUGCCCACAAGACAUGGAGCUGUCAUUAGUCGUAAAAUUGACGGGGCCAUUAAUGAGUUAAUUGAUGGAUUCAUUGAAAAUGAUGUGACUCCAUGGUAUGCUAGCCUGGUUAAUGAUAGCACCCCAAGCAUUGAAGCUCUGAGGAGUGUUUUGUGGUAUAGUGUCGUGAACAUCAAUGAAAGGCUGGCUCAUAUGGAUCAAGUACGCUUUGUCACAGGUGGUGCAAUUAACUGUCUUACACGUCACCUUGAGAACAUUAGGAUUGCUCAGACUGCAGGGGAAGCUCGAGGAGAAAGAGGUGUGUUCCAUUUAGUUCCUCAAUUGAGUUCCCCAGAAAGAGAAAGAAAUUUUCUUCGUCUGGUGGCAGAGCUACUUAUUUCUCGAUGCCUUCCAUCAGAAUACUUGCGGUGUACACCAUUGCGUACACUUCUCAAGGAACUCCUGGCCUGUAAAGUUUUUGAACCAUUGAUUGAUCGAGUGUGUGACCCAGACUGGAUCAAUCAGAGGCUAGUUUCAUACCUGAGACAACAACAUGCAGCAGAAGAGCUUCAUCGUCGCACUUACAUGUAUGCUGCGAGUUACGAAGAUUUCAUUACACUCAUCCAUGAUUCUACUGAUAUUCAUGACCUUGAGCACCUCAGCUUUGACAACUUCUUAGAGUUGGUUUUAGCCUCUGAAAGCACGGAGGAAAUGCUCAGGAUAAGACGAAACAUAAUAAAUGAGAUAAUGCAAGCAACUGCCAUCAACAACCUGAAGAAAGCCAAGGGGGUCGAUCUGAGUCGUGAAAGUACACCACAAGGAUCUGGAAAAGGGGACUUGCUUCAGGCUAGAAAUCUUAAGCGGUACAUCAACCAGCUGACUUACGCAAAAGCCCAGUGUGAACGGCGAAUAAGUAUUCUGAACACUGGGAAAGUGGCAGUAGAAUCAGGCACGUCAGGAGGUUGUGUUAGCAGUUCGCAAGUUACACACAGUUUGUCUGAAACUUUCUCCCACUCUCUUCAGAAUCUCCCUGGAAGGAAGAUUCUUAUGUUCCAAGCACUACUUGAGUCUGCUUUUGCACGUCGCUACUUCUCAAUUUAUCUGGACGAGAUUGGACAAGGUGCACUUAUCAGUUUCUGGUCUGCAGUCCAAGAAAUUCGUCAUGCAGACAAGAAGUUGCACCACCAGUUAGGAACAGAGAUCUACUAUACUUACCUCAGCCCCCAUCCUCCACCAGUCAAGGUUGAUAAGCCAACUCUUCGUGGUGUGGAAGCCUUUCUUUUGGGCAACAGAGGACCUGAAGUUUUAUACGAAAUUGGAGAGGAGGUGGAGCGGACCUUAGAGGAACGUCACUACACUGGUUUCUUGGUAUCAUCCACAUACCAUGCAAUGCUUCAUCAAGCUGCACUCCAGGGUGUGGACUUCAUGACUGAGUGUGCUGAGGAUGGAGGCCCAGGAAAUACUGAAGGAAGCACCACAGAGUCAAUAGAGCAGGUACAGAUGCAGCUCUCUGAUCAUUCCACAUAUGCCAGGAAUAAAUUGGCACACCUUCAGGAGAGACUCACCAAUAAACUCUUAGCACUGCAAGCUUUACGACAAAGUGGGAAAGCUGAUGCAAAAGUCAUCACACACCUGGAGGGGGAUAUCAGUCAGCUGCGUAGUGAUCACAAACUGCUGGAGACCCACGUUGAGAGAACAGCACUUUGGAGUGACAAUAUUGGUCGUUGGCGUGUUCAUGUCCAGAGUGUACAGCUUGUUGAGGAGAAGGACAUCCCCCACCUGGUAUUGUUAGUUCACUUAAAUUCAGAGGAGGUGAAGACUUCAUCAUGCCAAGAUCUAUCCUCAGCAUCUGUCCUUACGUCAUCUAACUCAUCGUCCUCAUCAUCAUCAUCUACCUCAUCCUCCACUGCCAUGGAUACCUUUGAGGUCUCUAUUGGGAGUUCAGGACCUGCACAUGGUUGGGUAAUUGUGAGGAAAUUGCCACUGCUUACUGACCUUCAUAGAAAGUUAUGCCAAAUUGCCCCUUGGAUGAAAGCAGUAGAAUUACCUAAUGUACCUGGCAAGAUGCUAUUUGGGAAAGUUGCUGACAAGGCUCAUCUGGAGAAAGUACGUGUUGUGGCACAGAACUAUUUUGAUGCCGCUCUGAAUGACGAAAAACUCUCUGGCUCAGAGCUCAUAUAUGCAUACCUGUCACCUUCACCGGAGCAUCUAAAACAAGCAGAAAUACAGAAAAAAAAAUAUAAGUUUUCCUUUUCUACAUUUUUUAAAGGAAGUGACGGUAAGAGUGACAGUGAUGAAGAAGACCUAGGGCUGAUGAUGGAUGGUGGGGAUACAUCUGCUGAUGGAGGGAGUGGUGAUGGAGGGAAAGACUCGGUAGCAGAGCCGCUGUUCUCAUUCCUGGAAGAACUUUGUGAACUGAGAGGUGUGGGCAAGUGGCUCAGAAAAACACUGAUUUCCUUUGUUCAAGUUACCUAUGGAAAGACUAUAACUAAACAUGUACGGGAAACAGUAUCUAGUAUGCUGAGUGAGUCUAUGGUACUAUACUAUAUGCACACAGUGAAAGACAACCUUUGGCCUUCACAUGAUGAAAUACAAGCAACACAUCAGCCUCAGACAGAAGAUGACAAACUUAGAACAAGGUAUGAAGCUCGUGAGCAGUUUGUGAAUAACUUACCUGUUCUUCUGUGUACUUUAGUGGGUCAACAAAAUGCUCGCAGAGGAGCAACAAAACUCUUCACUACGCUGCAGCAUCAUGCUCUUAACAAAAACCUCUUUUAUACUGUCCUGGAAGCUCUCCUCAAAGAACUGUUCCCUGAACUUCAAGAACAUAUUGACAAGAAAUUAUGAGUACAGGUAUCAGUACAGGUAUAACAUUGUCGAACAUCGGAACACUCCAAUAUAUUCUCAGGGAUUUCCUGCUUUUUUUGGAAUAUCCAAGUCGACCCACGUGAAUCGCACAAAUCCGGGGAGAAAAAUAUGGAGAGGGAGUGUCAAGGUCUUUGCCGAUGUUCAUCACUAGCCUUGAGGUGGGUCGCAAAAGGGUCUUCAAUUUCUUGAUUAAUAUCAUUUACAUCAUCUUUAAAUUUCACAGUAGUAUACUGUUUACAAAUUAUUGAAAACCUCUAAUGUUGUUAUUCUGUCAUAAUAAAUACAGUACCGAGUUAAUGUACUGUACUUGGAAUUUUUCAAAUUUACACCUGGAAAAGCCAGGGAAUUUUGUCUUGUCUGGCCAGUAGACACCUUGAAAGUGCUUGUAUUUUAAGUAUGCCAUAUACUGAACAACUUUGUUAUGACAAGAUUAACUCACUUCUCUUGUUUUGUCUUUCAUUCUUGAUAAAACAUAUAAUUAAUAUCUGUGAUUCCUGAUCUAUCUGAGCUGCAGUGCUCAGUGGUGUCCCACAAAGGGAUAUGUAAGGCCUGGUUGUGUGUUGUCCAAGUUAUACCUCUUUGUUGAUGAUAUAAAGACGGUCUGUCAUAUUCAGGCUGUUGAGGACCAUAGUCAACUUCAAAUAGAUGUUGACAACCUCCAUAUGUGGUCAGACUCAAGGCUACUCCACCUUCCCCCAAACAUUUGUAAGGUGAUUAUUCUUAGUAGACCAGUAGAAGUAAGCCAUCAUCAUGUUAAAUGAAAAGUUAUUAUUAGCUUACAUAGCUAAAAAGAAAUGAGAAGAAAAAGGAUAUGGGAGUGAUGAUUAAUAACUUAUUGUUGUUUGAAGAUCGCACAGUGACAAAGUCAAGAAGUUAAACCAAAUGAUGGGUCUGAUCCUGUGAUCAUUCACUCACUCACAUUUACAGUAAUAACUUUCUGAUGGUUAUAUAAGGCCCUAGUCCAACCUCAUUUAGGGUAUGCAAAUGCAGUUUGGCAGCCCCAAUAAAUGAAGGACACCCACACAAUCAAAUAUAUUUGGGCAUAUAUAUUUAUUUAGCUCUGAGUAUACAUAGUAACAUCUCUAUUCCACCCAUUUCAGAACUGACUGCUAUCCAGAAUAUACAUAACUAGCAUUAGUAAGUAAAGAAGCUUGUUAAUUUUGAUACAACUGACUUCUCUUAUAAGACAUUAUUCUUUGCUGUUAUAAAAUUGUAGGAUACAGAACCAAAGAAACAGUGCUCAGGAUUUAACAAACAGUAUUUAUAUGAGUCUUGAUCAUCAUUUAUAAUUAUAAGAUGCAAAAUACACUAUAGAUUCAGUGGAUAUUAAUGGUAAUUGCUCAUUAUAUGCUUAGAUUAGCAGUACAGUUGUGUUUCAAAGAGAGCAGUCACAGAUCACUCUGCCAGGAACACAGGAAAUUGCAAUAUGGUAUGUGUACCAUGUUCAAUUUGAACUGCAGUUUUGUUAAAGCUUACUUGACCUUUAAAUCCACUCCUCUCUGGUUCAGAUCACUCUCAUAUCUGGAACAAUCCACUUCUUCCAUUUUACUGUUUGCCCAUUCAAGCUUAUCAUGUGUAUCUCCCCGUCUCCCUACUUUUUUUCUUUUCUUCACUUUGCUGUUGUUCAUAUUUACUGUAAAGUUGCCCCUGGUGCAGUCCACACUCUUCCAGCUUUACUCACUAAUUUUUUUUAUUUUUUCUUUGGGCUCAUCACCCACUAGAGCAGUAGUACAGUUUCUACAACAAGCAGUUGUCUCGCCUCCCAUCUAUAUCAUCAUCAUUGUCAUCUUCAGCAUUUUAUGGUAAUUUUCCUUGCUUGUGUGGGUUAGCCAUGAUUGUCUGAUGGCAGCUCUUCAUGUUGCAUAGUGUCUUGCAGUCUCUCUUGUCAGGCUCUUAAUUCUAGUAUAAUUUCUUACAACCCAUAUCAGUAUUCACAAAACAUGUUCUGUACACUUGCUCCAAAAAGUAUCUUUACAAUUUUGUGUGAGACAAUAUGGUAUUACACAACGAACAAAGAAUUUUGAACACCCUACUGAGACACCAGGAGUCACAUUGUUCAUUUUGAAAUACAUCAAAGCCCUCCGUAAAAUGAUUUUUUGAAAACAUGUCCCUCCCUCCUCUUCUCUUGAUUUCACCUCUCAAACUACUCAUCCAUGAAAAUAUUAAACAAUCGUAGUAUCGUUAAUUCAUUACACACUCUAGUACUUUCAUUAGGAGACAGUUUUCCAGAUUUAUAAGGUACGAUUGAAUGGAAUUAAGAUUCUUUAUUGAGUAAAAGAGAAAGUCUGAAGUGUGUUAGAAGUAUGCUUUAGAAAACUUUGACAUGAUUUAUUACUGAAAUAAAUUAUCUCCUGAAAGGUAAAACUUACAGCUACAGAAAAAGAGGCCAUAAUUUGAGGAUAUCAUAUACUGUACUGUACAUAUCCAUUAGUUAAGGAACUAAAUGAAUUCCCUUAAAAAUAUUUAGAACAGUUUUAAUAAAAACAAGUGGGAGUAAACUUGAACUCUGCUGAAUCAAUGCAUCAUGUUUAGAGCUGCUGGCACAGCUAAAUUUAUUCAGAUUACUCUUAUUUAGUUCACUUAAUUAUAAAAUCAUAAGGUCUGUCACUGAAUUAGUGAGUGAUUGAAUGAGUCAGUGACAAACAGGUGUAUAGAGCUGCUGGCACAGCUACCUGUAUAAAAUAAAUUACCAUACAAAAGCAUAAAUGUAUUUUGUUGUCACUGAGCACAUUCAGUAUUGCUAUGUGUUGCUAUGAGAAAGGUACAGUGUUUGCAAGGUCUCCUAAAAGUUCAUGUCGUUGAAAUUUUGAUGGUUCUAAAUUGGAUCAAAAUUCAUGCUGUAUAAAAGUCUUCACAGUACUGUGAAUAUAAUGACUGAUUUAACUUCCUGUGAAUGCUUCUUUAAGUAGGAUUUUUCAAUGUGUUAAAGGAUGAUAAAUUCAUAUUUGGCAGCAUUGAAAACUACCACAAACAGGCAUAAAGAUUCUGAAAAGUGAUCAGUUUUACAUGGUGACUGUACACCUUAUACCAUCAUAGUUGUUGAUGGUAAGAAGGAAACAAGUGCAAUUUUCCUUUCAUCAGAUAUCAAACGAAAUUCUGAUCUGAUCAUAUAACAACGCACAUUGAAUGCCUCUGAUAAACCAAAGAAUAGACAAUAUGUACAGUGAUCCCUCGGUUAACGAGCACAAUCCGUUCCAGCAGGUUGCUCGUUAACCGAAAAUCUCGUUAACCGAAACCAUUGUUUCAAUGGGUUUUUGGGUAAUUGGUUCCAGCUCACCGA
rnacentral:misc_RNA from 1 species